AGAGAGAAGCUUGCUUCUCUUGAGAGCGGCGGACGGGUGAGUAAUGCCUAGGAAUCUGCCUGGUAGUGGGGGAUAACGUUCGGAAACGGACGCUAAUACCGCAUACGUCCUACGGGAGAAAGCAGGGGACCUUCGGGCCUUGCGCUAUCAGAUGAGCCUAGGUCGGAUUAGCUAGUUGGUGAGGUAAUGGCUCACCAAGGCGACGAUCCGUAACUGGUCUGAGAGGAUGAUCAGUCACACUGGAACUGAGACACGGUCCAGACUCCUACGGGAGGCAGCAGUGGGGAAUAUUGGACAAUGGGCGAAAGCCUGAUCCAGCCAUGCCGCGUGUGUGAAGAAGGUCUUCGGAUUGUAAAGCACUUUAAGUUGGGAGGAAGGGUUGUAGAUUAAUACUCUGCAAUUUUGACGUUACCGACAGAAUAAGCACCGGCUAACUCUGUGCCAGCAGCCGCGGUAAUACAGAGGGUGCAAGCGUUAAUCGGAAUUACUGGGCGUAAAGCGCGCGUAGGUGGUUUGUUAAGUUGGAUGUGAAAUCCCCGGGCUCAACCUGGGAACUGCAUUCAAAACUGACUGACUAGAGUAUGGUAGAGGGUGGUGGAAUUUCCUGUGUAGCGGUGAAAUGCGUAGAUAUAGGAAGGAACACCAGUGGCGAAGG
rnacentral:rRNA from 1 species